UUCCCCCCCCCCGCCAUCACAAACUGAAGACAUUGAACAUUGGACUCGAGCCAUGUUUAUUGAUGCUACAAAGAAAUAAGCUGGUGAGAUUACAGCCUUCAUUUUUUUUUUUUUAAGUGAUAAUGAAGAUGCUCUAACAUGUUGAUACUUCGGAUCUUUGAUAGUUGUUGCGCACUUGUAAAUGUAACAAUUAAACCUUAGAUUUUGCACUUACAAACAUUGAUUAAUUCAGUGACAGAACUAGCAUAUGGUGCC
rnacentral:misc_RNA from 1 species